rnacentral:lncRNA from 1 species
GCCGGAGAGGGGCGGCGGAGACGGCUCGUCUGUGUCCGAGUCGUCGUCGUCCUCGGGCACCUGAGGCUUGAGCAGCACCGAGCGGCCCCGACUGCGGGGCCGGCGCGGCGAACACAUGAAAACGUCGGCAGCCAUGAGGAGAACCUGGUCCGGGGCAUCCCCCGGGAGCCGGGACGACGGAGAACGGAGAAGCGGCACCAGGAACGGAAGGGGCCGCCGGCCCGACUCGGCCCGGGCCCUCGCGCAGACUGCCCGGGAACGCGCGGCCAGAGGGGGAGGGCGCCGGCCUCCUCGUGACGUCACUGCUCGUCUUAGCCAAUCGGAUGCCCGCCUCUGCCUCUUAAAGGAAAUCCAGUGAGAUGGUUCAGUAGGUAAAUAAAAGCACUUGCUAAGCCUGACCUCCAUUCCAACCCGGGGGACCCACAUGAUAGAAGACUCCCAACAACUUGAUCUGUGACCACUACCCGCCCCUCACUGUGGCAUCUGUGCUUCCCACAAUAAAGAAAGGUAAAAAAAUAAAUAAAUAAAUAAAAGA